rnacentral:rRNA from 1 species
UGGGGAAUUUUGGACAAUGGGCGCAAGCCUGAUCCAGCCAUGCCGCGUGCGGGAAGAAGGCCUUCGGGUUGUAAACCGCUUUUGUCAGGGAAGAAAUCUUCUGAGUUAAUACCUCGGGAGGAUGACGGUACCUGAAGAAUAAGCACCGGCUAACUACGUGCCAGCAGCCGCGGUAAUACGCAGGGUGCAAGCGUUAAUCGGAAUUACUGGGCGUAAAGCGUGCGCAGGCGGUUUUGUAAGACAGAGGUGAAAUCCCCGGGCUCAACCUGGGAACUGCCUUUGUGACUGCAAGGCUUGAGUGCGGCAGAGGGGGAUGGAAUUCCGCGUGUAGCAGUGAAAUGCGUAGAUAUGCGGAGGAACACCGAUGGCGAAGGCAAUCCCCUGGGCCUGCACUGACGCUCAUGCACGAAAGCGUGGGGAGCAAACAGGAUUAGAUACCCUGGUAGUCCACGCCCUAAACGAUGUCAACUGGUUGUUGGGAAGGUUCCUUCUCAGUAACGUAGCUAACGCGUGAAGUUGACCGCCU